GAGGUAGUUCAGAUGGUUAGAGCGCCUGUCUGAUACGCAGGAGACCGCGGGUUCGAGUCCCGCCCUC
rnacentral:tRNA from 1 species